AUUCAAUCGAUUUUCUUUUUUAAUUCAAUUUAGGGGUUUGGAAUAACUAGUACUUGCUUCAGCUGUGCAGGAGUCUGUGUACGUACAUAUAUGUGUAUGUAAUAUAUAUUUCACUUCAGGUUUUAGAAGAGGUGCAGAUCCUGGAAUGCCUGAGCCAACUAUUUUGAGUUUACUUUGGGGAUGAAAGCUGUGGCUGUCUUGUUCUAGAAGAAGCUGAUGAACAGAGAAAAUGUCUGAAGAUACGUACAUUCCAGAGGAGGAGGUGGACACUUAACGUUACACCAGCUGGCUCAGGCAGCUUGCUAAUGACAUAGAUUGUACAUACAGCAAAAUGGAGUUUAUAUGGACCUAACUUAUUUGCAUUACAGUGUAAUUAAAUAAAUACAGUUUGAAUCAAUAUGUAUUGUUUUAAAGUCUUUAAAUAUGUAUAAUUUAGUAAUUCCUUUAUUGCAGAAAGGAUAACCAUUUUGUUUUCUCUAAGUUUGGUGAAGUUUAACCUCCAUAUUUAUCCUCAUUAUGAUGAUCUUUAAGGUAAAGAUUCUCAUUUAUCUUCAGAAUAAAGAGAAAACUGAGCUGUUUUAAAUAUUUUAA